GGCUUAGAGUUUGAUCAUGGCUCAGGAUGAACGCUGGCGGCGUGCCUAACACAUGCAAGUCGAACGGAGUUAUUCGAGGAAGUUUUCGGAUGGAAUUGAAUAACUUAGUGGCGGACGGGUGAGUAACGCGUGGGAAACCUGCCCUGUACCGGGGGAUAACACUUAGAAAUAGGUGCUAAUACCGCAUAAGCGCACAGCUUCGCAUGGAGCAGUGUGAAAAACUCCGGUGGUACAGGAUGGUCCCGCGUCUGAUUAGCCAGUUGGCGGGGUAACAGCCCACCAAAGCGACGAUCAGUAGCCGGCCUGAGAGGGUGGACGGCCACAUUGGGACUGAGACACGGCCCAAACUCCUACGGGAGGCAGCAGUGGGGGAUAUUGCACAAUGGGGGAAACCCUGAUGCAGCGACGCCGCGUGAGUGAAGAAGUAUUUCGGUAUGUAAAGCUCUAUCAGCAGGGAAGAAAAUGACGGUACCUGAGUAAGAAGCCCCGGCUAACUACGUGCCAGCAGCCGCGGUAAUACGUAGGGGGCAAGCGUUAUCCGGAUUUACUGGGUGUAAAGGGAGCGUAGACGGUGAAGCAAGUCUGGAGUGAAAACCCGGGGCUUAACCCCGGGAUUGCUUUGGAAACUGUUUAACUGGAGUGCAGGAGAGGUAAGCG
rnacentral:rRNA from 1 species